UAGGAACAGUUUCUUCGCUUCAGGAGCUUUAGGAGAUUGUGUUCCUUCUCAUGCUUGAGACUCCAUUACUAUUGUCUGUGCGUCUUCAUCGGGUACCUUCAGACCGGUUCGAGUGGUUUGGCCUAACGUGGAAUGAGCAAACAUACCUUUAACAAGUGGAAGGAGCAGGAAGUGAUCUUCUUCAGCUAAAGCGACGCUGCGACACAAUGGCAUCUCUUGUCUGGGACUCCAUACUGAAUGACGGCACCAGGAAUUCAUAGGUCACAUGACAUCAGACACUUUCUUCUGGCUCUCAGCUGCAGUAAAAUCCUCUGAUUUGUGUCUUACCAGGCAAGUUUAGAUGUUGAUACUCUGUCUAAUACUGCCUGGUAAUGCCAUCAAUCACAAGGAAUUUGAUCACCAUUUUUCCUUUUCCUUCCUUACCUACACUGCCGCAAUGGAAUUGUUUUUUUUUUUUUUAAAUAAUUAAACAGUGUUUGGAGUCUUAAUAAAAAUAAUAAAGGUUUUAAAAUGCUGUACCUUAUAUGUAUUGUUUAAUUGUAUGUCUGCCUAUUUUGCUCCAUGUACAUUAUUGUGUAUUUUGGUCAAUAAAUGUGAAUUACAAUCAA